GCACUGCUGACGAGUCCCAAACAGGAAGAAACAGCCGUCCGGUGC
rnacentral:hammerhead_ribozyme from 1 species